rnacentral:rRNA from 1 species
AGAGUUUGAUCAUGGCUCAGAGCGAACGCUGGCGGCAGGCUUAACACAUGCAAGUCGAGCGGGCCCUUCGGGGUCAGCGGCAGACGGGUGAGUAACACGUGGGAACGUACCCUUUGGUUCGGAAUAACGCUGGGAAACUAGCGCUAAUACCGGAUACGCCCUUUUGGGGAAAGGCUUGCUGCCGAAGGAUCGGCCCGCGUCUGAUUAGCUAGUUGGUGGGGUAAUGGCCUACCAAGGCGACGAUCAGUAGCUGGUCUGAGAGGAUGAUCAGCCACACUGGGACUGAGACACGGCCCAGACUCCUACGGGAGGCAGCAGUGGGGAAUAUUGGACAAUGGGCGCAAGCCUGAUCCAGCCAUGCCGCGUGAGUGAUGAAGGCCUUAGGGUUGUAAAGCUCUUUUGUCCGGGACGAUAAUGACGGUACCGGAAGAAUAAGCCCCGGCUAACUUCGUGCCAGCAGCCGCGGUAAUACGAAGGGGGCUAGCGUUGCUCGGAAUCACUGGGCGUAAAGGGCGCGUAGGCGGCCAUUCAAGUCGGGGGUGAAAGCCUGUGGCUCAACCACAGAAUUGCCUUCGAUACUGUUUGGCUUGAGUAUGGUAGAGGUCGGUGGAACUGCGAGUGUAGAGGUGAAAUUCGUAGAUAUUCGCAAGAACACCAGUGGCGAAGGCGGCCGACUGGACCAUUACUGACGCUGAGGCGCGAAAGCGUGGGGAGCAAACAGGAUUAGAUACCCUAGUAGUCC